rnacentral:rRNA from 1 species
UUUGUCCUACGGGACGCAGCAGUAGGGAAUCUUCCACAAUGGACGAAAGUCUGAUGGAGCAACGCCGCGUGAGUGAAGAAGGUUUUCGGAUCGUAAAGCUCUGUUGUAAGAGAAGAACGUGUGUGAGAGUGGAAAGUUCACACAGUGACGGUAACUUACCAGAAAGGGACGGCUAACUACGUGCCAGCAGCCGCGGUAAUACGUAGGUCCCGAGCGUUAUCCGGAUUUAUUGGGCGUAAAGCGAGCGCAGGCGGUUGGAUAAGUCUGAAGUUAAAGGCUGUGGGUCAACCAUAAGAUGCUUUGGG